ACGGAGGAUGCGAGCGUUAUCCGGAUUUAUUGGGUUUAAAGGGUGCGUAGGCGGAUUAAUAAGUCAGUGGUGAAAUACUGCAGCUUAACUGUAGAAUUGCCGUUGAUACUGUUAGUCUUGAGUAUGGUCAAGGUAGGCGGAAUGUGUAAUGUAGCGGUGAAAUGCGUAGAUAUUACACAGAACACCAAUUGCGAAGGCAGCUUACUGGUCCGUUACUGACGCUAAUGCACGAAAGUGUGGGGAGCGAACAG
rnacentral:rRNA from 1 species